CAAGUGUACCAGAUCGUUAUUAAGUAAUAUAAAUGGGUAAGUCCAAGUAUCAUUUCCCAAAGGACUCUUAGGCCUUACUUUUCAUGUAAACAAAUCACAUAAGACUUGAGAAAAGAAUUAAGUUGGUGUUUGUAUGCAAAGAACAAAAGUAAACAUGCAAAUGCAGAUAUUCAAUUGGCUUUAAGAAACUAUGGAUGAAUGGAGUUGUUGGGGUUUACAAUUUCAUCUUUAUCCACCCUCAUAUAUCUACUCUUCUUAUUUAAUUAGCUUAUCUAUCAUAUUGUCAUGCAAACUUUCUUAGUCUACCCUUAACCCAAUCCCUUGAUGAAAAGAACCUAUUAUUAAUUACCGGCUUGCUAUCCCUAACCUCCCC
rnacentral:lncRNA from 1 species